rnacentral:rRNA from 1 species
GCAGCGGGCUCGCCCGCUGUCCGACGAUCACGGCCCCCCUCACGGGGGGUACCCCCCACCCUUGUGUAUUAUACCUUUGUUGCUUUGGCGGGCCGCGUCAAGCCACCGGCUCACGCUGGUGAGCGCCCGCCAGAGGCCCCAACUCUUGAUUUUAUGAUGUCUGAGUACUAUAUAAUAGUUAAAACUUUCAACAACGGAUCUCUUGGUUCUGGCAUCGAUGAAGAACGCAGCGAAAUGCGAUAAGUAAUGUGAAUUGCAGAAUUCAGUGAAUCAUCGAAUCUUUGAACGCACAUUGCGCCCCGUGGUAUUCCGCGGGGCAUGCCUGUUCGAGCGUCAUUAUGACCAACAUCACGCCUCGCGUGGUCUUGGGGCUGGCAACUCUGCCGCCCUCAAACGCAGUGGCAGCGCCGCAUGGCUCUUAGCGUAGUAAUACUCCUCGCUAUAGGGUCCUACGGUUGCCCGCCAGCAACCCCCAAUCUUUACAGGUUGACCUCGG